rnacentral:rRNA from 1 species
AGGACGAACGCUGGCGGCGUGCUUAACACAUGCAAGUCGAACGAGGUGCUUGCACCUAGUGGCGAACGGGUCGAGUAACACGUGAGCAACCUGCCCUUAGCUCUGGGAUAGCUCCGGGAAACCGGAAUUAAUACCGGAUAUUACAUCGGCCGACAUCGGCUGAUGUGGAAAGAUUUAUCGGCUAAGGAUGGACUCGCGGCCUAUCAGCUAGUUGGUGGGGUAGAAGCCUACCAAGGCGACGACGGGUAGCCGGCCUGAGAGGGCGACCGGCCACACUGGGACUGAGACACGGCCCAGACUCCUACGGGAGGCAGCAGUGGGAAUCUUGCGCAAUGGGCGAAAGCCUGACGCAGCGACGCCGCGUGGGGGAUGAAGGCCUUCGGGUUGUAAACCCCUUUCAGCAGGGACGAAGCGAAAGUGACGGUACCUGCAGAAGAAGCGCCGGCUAACGUACGUGCCAGCAGCCGC